CGGGGUGCAGCAGGCGCGAAAACUUUACAAUGCUGGCAACAGCGAUAAGGGGACCUUGAGUGCCAGGAUACAAUCCUGGCUGUCGUGAUGCCUAAAAAGCAUUAUAUAGCAAGGGCCGGGCAAGACCGGUGCCAGCCGCCGCGGUAACACCGGCGGCUCGAGUGGUAACCGCUAUUAUUGGGUCUAAAGGGUCUGUAGCCGGCUUGGUUAGUCUCUUGGGAAAUCCGGCAGCUUAACUGUCGGGCUUUCAGGAGAUACUGCCAGGCUCGAGACCGGGAGAGGUGAGAGGUACUUCAUGGGUAGGGGUGAAAUCUUGUAAUCCUUGAAGGACCACCAGUGGCGAAGGCGUCUCACCAGAACGGAUCUGACGGCAAGGGACGAAAGCUAGGGGCACGAACCGGAUUAGAUACCCGGGUAGUCCUAGCCGUAAACGAUACUCGCUAGGUGUCGGCCACGGUGCGACCGUGGUCGGUGCCGUAGGGAAGCCGUGAAGCGAGCCACCUGGGAAGUACGGCCGCAAGGCUGAGACUUAAAGGAAUUGGCGGGGGAGCAC
rnacentral:rRNA from 1 species